rnacentral:rRNA from 1 species
UACGGGGGGGGCAAGCGUUGUUCGGAAUUACUGGGCGUAAAGGGCUCGUAGGCGGCCAACUAAGUCAGACGUGAAAUCCCUCGGCUUAACCGGGGAACUGCGUCUGAUACUGGAUGGCUUGAGGUUGGGAGAGGGAUGCGGAAUUCCAGGUGUAGCGGUGAAAUGCGCAGAUAUCAGGAGGAACACCGGUGGCGAAGGCGGAUCUCUGGGCCAGCACUGACGCUCAUGCACGAAAGCGUGGGGAGCAAACAGG